UACGUAGGGUGCGAGCGUUGUCCGGAAUUAUUGGGCGUAAAGAGCUCGUAGGCGGUUUGUUGCGUCGGCCGUGAAAACCUGCAGCUUAACUGUGGGCCUGCGGCCGAUACGGGCAGACUUGAGUUCGGUAGGGGAGACUGGAAUUCCUGGUGUAGCGGUGAAAUGCGCAGAUAUCAGGAGGAACACCGGUGGCGAAGGCGGGUCUCUGGGCAACAACUGACGCUGAGGAGCGAAAGCGUGGGGAGCGAACAGG
rnacentral:rRNA from 1 species